GCUGUUUCAGAUAGUCUCGAUGAUAAGAGUUCUAGUAAUGCUAGAAGUUCUGGCAGAGGGACAGGCAAUAGUAGAGGAAAAGAAAGGGGAAGAGGAAGAUCCCUCAGACCUUAUUUCUUUUGAGGUCGUCAACAUCCUUGGAGGACGCAGACGUUUCGUUCUAAUAUUAGACUGGCGGGCAGCUUAUUUCCGAGGUAGUUCAUCAUCAGAAUCGGAGAGAUCUUCUGUGAAUGAAAAGAUGAGUCGGAAUUAUGGAGUUUCUUUCGAAUAAUCAGAAAGGUGUCAUCUCAUAGGUCUCAUAAGUCGUGAUGUCGGAUCUUUCUAUGCAGCCAUGUUGAUCAGUAUCGAGAAUGAAGAUGCGUAUAGGUACAGCCGAAAAUGAUUUAUGCAAUAGUCGAUUGCCAGAAGCUAAUUUUUUUCAGUAGAGUUUAAUACUCUGGAGGCAUAUCCAGGCAGUUGGAAGAUCUUGCCCUAUAACUUCUUGACACACCAACAAUGGCGUAAUCCGAACCACACACACACACAUCUGUGGCCGCUUAUAAAAGAAAAGCUGAUUGCGAUCAGUUGUGUAAGAAUAUAAAGUUAUUCCAUGAUGGAAGGGAUUGACAUAGUGUGUUCAGUUUGGAUAAACCACGUCCUUUUUGUGAGUCGAAGUAUCGUUUGUAGAUCCGGCCUGCCAAGCGGCAGAAAUAAAUGAUGUUGCUUCAACUGAUCUCUAUGCAUCUUCAUCAGAUUCCGCUAUAUGGUAUGUCCUUUCCUCUCUUUGUUUCGAAGCGUGGAGCAACAUCAACUGUCAAGCAAGUGUCAAAGAUUUUAAGAGUUUAUUAGAGUACGUGUUUGAGAUCGUUAAUUCGGGAAAAGCAAGAAUUCUUUCAGUCGACAGUAAUUGUCAUUGAACGCACGCAU